GCCUGGCUGGCUCAGUCAGUAGAGCAUGUGACUUUUGAUCUCAGGUUCAUGAGUUGGAGCUUCAUGUUGGUUA
rnacentral:tRNA from 1 species